rnacentral:tRNA from 1 species
AAGAAGUUAGUUAAAUAAAUAACAUUAGUAUGUCAUACUAAAAUUAUUAGAAGAUAACUAAUACAUCUUU